UAGUGCCUACGGGAGGCAGCAGUAGGGAAUAUUGCUCAAUGGGGGAAACCCUGAAGCAGCAACGCCGCGUGGAGGAUGAAGGAUUUCGGAUUGUAAACUCCUUUUGUUAGAGAAGAUAAUGACGGUAUCUAACGAAUAAGCACCGGCUAACUCCGUGCCAGCAGCCGCGGUAAUACGGAGGGCGCGAGCGUUAAUCGGAAUUACUGGGCGUAAAGCGCUCGUAGGCGGAAUGUCCA
rnacentral:rRNA from 1 species